CGAGUGGACCGACGAGAAAAAGGUGCUGUGAGUGUCGUUCGUACCGAAAAAUUGUUUAAUCGUAAACAGUGUGCACAGCACCGCGUCUAUCGGACUCGGACUCGAAUCAUUUUCUUUUCGGUCCGAUUGUCGCCAUCAGAAAGCGGAAAACGAAGCACAGAAAGUGUCCCACGAGGACGGGUCUCGAAGCGAGCACAUUCCGGUCGCCAACCCCACUCACUCGUCGAGUAAAAAGCGAAAAGAUCAGGAAAAUCGGACCGUGUUAUUUAUCACUCCGGUCCUGGCAAGCGAAAACGGUGAGCAAGAUCCCUGUCGCAGAAAAAUCAGCUCGACGGACAAGUUCGGAUAAAGACCAGCCGGAGGAAAGUUUGCGUAUCGCUAAGUGAGCCGAAGGCCACCGGGACUGAUCAAUCCGGCAACUGGUCGGAAAAGUUUUGUCAUCUAGAACGGAACACUGAGUUCGGAGAAGCCUUCACGAGAAGGCUUCUUUGGCGUAGCUGAAGUUUCAGCGGAGCAGCUGAUUUUCGUCGUCGUUCUUUUGCGUAACUGGAUUUCCUUAGCAUAGCUGAAGUUUCGUCGAAGUGACCAAUUUCCGGCGACCGUCCAUUGGAUGUCGGAGUGCUAACCUCGGAAUCAGUUCUUCGGUAUUUAGGCCGUUUGCCAAGCCAGCGAAUAAUUUUUGGAGGCGAACACGACUUCCGGGCGAGCAAUCCAGUAGGGUGCAGAGGUGCUAUAAGGGCGUCGAGAGAAGCGAUGAGGGUCGCUACUGAGGGUCGCACGGAAUUGCGUGAGCCACGUAGGCUGCCGAUUGUGGGCAGAGACGAGGGCGGCUUGUAAGUGCAUGCCAUACAUCGACAGCCGAGUCGCGGAGCCGGAUUGCGUGUGGCGAGAGGCUCAGGAAUUGUGGCAUUAGGAAGGUGGCACGGACGUGUGUCUC